UUUAUAGUGCAGAAGAAAACAUUAUUUGUAUUUGGACUGAUAUUAAGUAUAUAGAGUUGUUGCUAAUUACAUUUCCAUUGAUUAUUGAUCAUAUGGUACUUCCUCCUCUGCUGAUGUAAUUUUGAAGCGACUUAAAACAAGCGCACCUGGACCAUGCAAAGCUUGUCAGAAAUCCAGCAAUAUUCUGCAUAAUGUAGGGGCUGUUGUUGUGACCUGUGGCAUAUGAAAGAUGGAGUAUAUGCUGCCGUAUUGACAACACUUCCAGAGGAUAUGUUCAAGGUUCAUGCAGACGGAAAUCAUCUAAUGAUAUGUCAGCUGAAGUUAAGAACUUGCUAUCAGCUCUUAACGAUCUUCUAAUGAGGAUCCGCCUAUGGAAGAGUUAUGUCAUACCCUCAAGUACGGUAAGUUAUGGACAGACGGGUACUGAUAAAAAUAUAUUCACUGAGACCUAUUGCUGAAUAUGCAAUUGAGGACAUAUUUCAUACUCCUAUAUCACAAUUUUCUCCCUCUUCUUCUCAGGCUUCCUUGCAACAACAAUGAAGUACGAAAGGAAUGAAAGUCGAGAAGUUGAGGCAUAAGUCCAAGGUGAGCUCUUGAUCCGGGUUCGUGCAAGGUAUCUUAAACUAGGUUCGAGCUGGAGCAAGUUAGUUGAUUGUCUUCUGAAGAGCAUGGACGAGCAUCCAAUCCUCUGCAUUUCUCCUCUCAUCCAUCUCUUGGUGUCGAAGAUCGACCUUUUCUGCUUUUGGUUCAGGUUUAACUCUGUCAAGGAGCUUCAAGUUAGAAUCAGAUGCUACAUUAUUGGAAUUGCCUUUGAUGGCCUCUUGUAUAUUGUUUCUGAUGGCUGGUGAUGCAUAUACUUCUUAUGUCUUGUGGUAAUCUUCCAUUCCUGAUGCUUUUACUUCACCAACAUUACCCUCAAUCGAGGAGAGUUCUACCUUGUUUGAAUCUUCUACUUCACCAGUAUUCGCUGGUCUUUUACUGAAGCAAUUGUCAGCUUCACACAGUUUCCAUUCUGUAACAUCUUCCUAUAGAAAACAAGUCCUUCAACUGUAGGGCUUACAUCAAUUUGAUCAUCUUUACCGACCAUGCAAAUUUCUUCCUUUUUACUAAAAGAAUCGUCAUCAGUAAUCGUUGAUAUAGGUGUAGUAGUCUCCUUACUUGAGUCUUCUCCGACUUCUACUACUGUGUAGUUGCCUUCACUUGAUUCAUUAUCUUUAGUUUUGACAAUAAAGUGGUAAGAAUCAAGCUCUACAUUUUGAGAUUCUAUAAUUUUUUCGAGGAGGUCAGAGAAAAUUUGCCUUGUUCAUCCAUGGACUCUUCAACAAGGAAGGUCACUUCCUUGGCUAGGUGAGAAUCCUUACAUAUCUCAUUCUUUGAUUCAUAAUUCAUAUCAAUUGUGACCAUUACUUGCGCUUGUGUGUGCUUAUUCCCUGUACCAUAUGUCACAAUCAGGCUGCAGUUAUUUAUUAUGUCAAUCAACAUUCUGUAAAUACUUAUCUAAUCAUUACUUUACACUAUCUGGAGUGGGGCUUGGAUGCUACUCUAUGUUACAUGAUUGUCCGAUUUAUACUUGGCAUGUGUGAUAUCUGGGAGUAGACAUUGUCCAUAAUAUAAGUAAUACAAGUAUAAUAAAAUUCUAGAUUUGAGAAGUAUGAUUUUCGUUUUCCGUAUUUAUUGGAUAUCUUUAACAAACAAAUGGACAAAUGGUUGAAUACUUUAAUGUAGAUUAACUGUAAGUCUAUUACCUUGAAAGUGAUGACUAGACAUUUAGUUUGGUGCAGAGAUAUUACUUGUCUGGGUAGACUCACUGGCUGACAAAGAAUCAGUAUCACUGAAACUCAGACAUUCCACUAUUUCAUCAUGAGAAUACGGUGGGUAUGCGUCAUCUAGGAACUCCAAAAAUAUACUCGCUAGCACUAUUGCUCAACUCAAAAUCUGGUAUCACUGUAAUUUGUCUUCGCAUAAAUCUCACACUUGUCGUGGGUGGUAUGAUUUUGCCCCUCUUCCCAUUCCAUAUCUAAGUUUUCGCAAAAUAACUCACUAGGAGAGCUCUGACGCUCAAAUGAUAUUUGUUUCCGAAGAGUAGUUGGGGAAUAGUCUUCGUCUUUGAGACUGGAAUUCAUCCUUAACAGACCAGUGUCUUCAGUUAGAAUUGGAUGGAAUUCUCUGUGAUAUGAAAGGGUUACUCAGAUCAUUAACUUACCUUCCAACCCAUAUUUGGGGGUUAUAAUCUCUUGUUAUAAAUAUUAUUUAAAUAAUCCAUAGGUUGCAGUUGAUUGUAGUUUACAAAGGAGAGUGGAUGCUUAUCUUGCUGACUACCUUUUUCAUAAAUCUAAGAGUUUAAAUGUUUUGCAAGAUAAUGGGAUUUCAAGAUCAAGCAAUAGUGUUAGUAUAGCCACCAAUAAAGGUGUCUUCGAGCAACCAGAACCCCUGAAUCUUUGUAGUUCUUCAUGGAGAGAAUUACUAGGUGAAGAAACUUGCAGCGUCAUGAUUAGAAGCUUGCUUCGAAGGAAUGCUCGAACGGAAGAAAAAUGUUGGAGUUUCGCCAAAGUCUUCCAGCAUAUAAGGAGAAAGAUGCACUAAUAACAGGUGUAACAUGUAAUCAGAUUUUCUUCUUAUUGUGUCGAAAGAGCUACUUUCUCAUAGACCAGAGUUAAGUUGAUAUUGAUGAGUGCGACAUUACUCUAAGCUAUUCUCUUCUUAUUUUGGUGGUGCUCCUGUGGUGAACAUCGUGGAAGAAUAUGCUCAGCAGGUUGGUUUGUGUCUGCACCCUUGUCAAUCCAUGAUGAAUUGAAAAAGGAGGAAACAUUUCUUAUUCAGUUUUUCCUUUCUGGCUAGAAAGCAGAAGACUUGGUUCAGAAGUGCACUUUUAAAUAAGUUUAACAAAGAUAGGUAGCUAAUUACGUUCCCGAACCAAAGCGUACCAUUACUUUGGUAACAGUCAAACCAUAAGUCCAGCGUGUUACAAUGUCUACUCCCCAAAUAUUUGCACGGAGUUUACAGAUGCAACCAACUUUGUAAUGGAAGUUGUUCCUCAUUUGAAGAAUCUCCUUUCGUACCAUUACACAAAUAGGAGGUUGUCAGACUUAAAAUCUCAUUAGUUGUGUUGGAGAGGGAGUUGCAUCCAAACUAUCAACGACCUACAUUGUAAACGUACUUAUGGGUCCGUAUUGUGUAUUAUAUAUUUCGUAUAUUGCAACUCGAAUUUUAGCAUACCUUUGCUAGCAUUGCAUUUUCAUAAAUUUGGAAUGCUCGUCUUUUAUACAACAUAUUUGUAAAACACUUUUACCGAACCUGAUUGAUAUGAAUGAUUAUAUUGUAUUGACGAU